rnacentral:rRNA from 1 species
AUUGAACGCUGGCGGCAGGCCUAACACAUGCAAGUCGAACGAGUGGCGGACGGGUGAGUAAUGUCUGGGAAACUGCCUGAUGGAGGGGGAUAACUACUGGAAACGGUAGCUAAUACCGCAUACCAUCGGAUGUGCCCAGAUGGGAUUAGCGAGUAGGUGGGGUAAAGGCUCACCUAGGCGACGAUCCCUAGCUGGUCUGAGAGGAUGACCGGCCACACUGGAACAUAGACACGGUCCAUACGCCUACGGGAGGCAGCAGGGGGGAAGUUGGCACAAUGGGCGCAAGCCGGAUGCAGCCAUGCCGCGUGUAGGAAGAAGGCCUUCGGGUUGUAAAGUACUUUCAGCGGGGAGGCGUUACCCGCAGAAGAAGCCCCGGCUAACUCCGUGCCAGCAGCCGCGGUAAUAC